rnacentral:rRNA from 1 species
AAAUUGAAGAGUUUGAUCAUGGCUCAGAUUGAACGCUGGCGGCAGGCCUAACACAUGCAAGUCGAACGGUAACAGGAAGCAGCUUGCUGCUUUGCUGACGAGUGGCGGACGGGUGAGUAAUGUCUGGGAAACUGCCUGAUGGAGGGGGAUAACUACUGGAAACGGUGGCUAAUACCGCAUAAUGUCGCAAGACCAAAGAGGGGGACCUUCGGGCCUCUUGCCAUCAGAUGUGCCCAGAUGGGAUUAGCUUGUUGGUGAGGUAACGGCUCACCAAGGCGACGAUCCCUAGCUGGUCUGAGAGGAUGACCAGCCACACUGGAACUGAGACACGGUUCAGACUCCUACGGGAGGCAGCAGUGGGGAAUAUUGCACAAUGGGCGCAAGCCUGAUGCAGCCAUGCCGCGUGUAUGAAGAAGGCCUUCGGGUUGUAAAGUACUUUCAGCGGGGAGGAAGGUGUUGUGGUUAAUAACC